rnacentral:lncRNA from 1 species
CUGGAAUAUCAGUUCCGGAUAAACAAAGAGUUGAGUAGUUUACUCUGGGACCCUAGGUCGGUUACAGAUCCCUAUCUAGCAUCUCUAGACUAACAAGCAUCUCCAUCUAUUAAUUCACAUUUUAAUCACAAUGGGGCUGGAGAAAAAGGGGCAAAGGUUAUGCAGUCCCACAGAAAAGGCAGUGGAAAUGUUCCCUGAGGCUGACAUUUAUUUGUUUGGGUAUCUUCUCCACUCAGAGUCCUGAAAAUACAUUGUAUGUUGGUAGAGAGUGUUUGGAAUCUGUGGGAAGCUUUGUUCGGCUGUUGAUCCACUGCCUGGCCCACAUUGCUGCUGGAGAUCUCCACCAGGACUCCAACCCCACCUUUCUGAGAUCAUUUUAUGAGGGGCUGAAGGCCUAUUUCAGAGAAGCAUUCUCUACCACAUUGCAAAUGUCAGCAGUUGCCUGGGAUAGUAAGCUUGACCAAAGCAUAAGUGCUAUUCUCCUGGAAGAGCAGCCCAUUUCUGAAAGAGAGAAAGAUAUUCUCUCUAAACUCAUUGAAAG